UACAGAGGUGGCAAGCGUUGUUCGGAAUUACUGGGCGUAAAGGGCGCGUAGGCGGUUCGUUAAGUCCUGUGUGAAAUCCCCCGGCUCAACUGGGGAACUGCACAGGAAACUAGCGGGCUUGAGUUCGGGAGAGGGAAGCGGAAUUCCGGGUGUAGCGGUGAAAUGCGUAGAUAUCCGGAGGAACACCGGUGGCGAAGGCGGCUUCCUGGACCGACACUGACGCUGAGGCGCGAAGCUAGGGAGCAAACGGG
rnacentral:rRNA from 1 species